ACAUCUGUUGAAUAUAAACUUUUUUUUUUUCUCUUGAUUGUUUAUAUGUGGCUUAUUAGUAUCAGGGAGUGCGGGAGGGAAGUUUUUUCUGCUUAUGAACUAGAGAGAUGUCCACUAACUGUAAAUUCUUCAAAAUCGGCUUGAAACUUUGCAUGAAGAGCUCUCCCUUUUGUGUGAAGUUAAAGUAGGACAGUUGUUAGGCUAAAGGCUUAGAUUUAGUCUCUUCAGUCAGAAAUGAACAUAUUUUGUUCCAGAUUUGUGUUUUUCCAAGAAAAUCAUAGAAGUACACAAAUACAGGUAACCUAAAAGGCAACAUGAAAAACUGGCAGAUGAAUAAAAUCAUAACUUCAUUUAUUUUUACGUCUUAUACUUACUAAAGAAAAAACAAUUUGCUAAUACUUACACAGUUCUAGGGUGCUACUUUAAAGUGCCAAAGAAACUUGAUGUUUCUGUUCUUUGACCAUACCAAAGUAGUGAUAGUCCUAACAGUGAAAUGCACUCAGACUGCAUAUUUUAGUUUAGUAAUUUUAGGUAGAGAAUUAACUAUUUAACUAUAGAACAGAAUAGAAUGUACAUAACUAUGCAACAGUGUGUGUAGGAGGUGUGAUAACUCUCAUACCUCUGUAUUACCACUGAGACUAUUUUUUAGGAGGCUGUUCUCUGGUUUAUGUUUUGCAAGUGGCACCUUGUUAUCUCGCUGUCAUCAUCACUAGACGCGUGGCUUUUAGGUGUUUGAAGAUUCUGUGAUGCACUUCAGUUACACAAAUACACACUUUAGAGAAUUUUUGCAGACGGGCUCGUUUUAUCAAUUCAAGAAGACAUUGAAGAGGCAAAAAGACAGCUAGAUUUACCAUAACAUCUUGAACUCAAAGAAUACAAUUUCUUUCAUCUGCCAGAAGCCAAACCAAUAAACCACUAAGCAAAACCA